rnacentral:rRNA from 1 species
UUGAACGCUGGCGGCAGGCCUAACACAUGCAAGUCGAGCGGAUGAAGGGAGCUUGCUCCUGGAUUCAGCGGCGGACGGGUGAGUAAUGCCUAGGAAUCUGCCUGGUAGUGGGGGAUAACGUCCGGAAACGGGCGCUAAUACCGCAUACGUCCUGAGGGAGAAAGUGGGGGAUCUUCGGACCUCACGCUAUCAGAUGAGCCUAGGUCGGAUUAGCUAGUUGGUGGGGUAAAGGCCUACCAAGGCGACGAUCCGUAACUGGUCUGAGAGGAUGAUCAGUCACACUGGAACUGAGACACGGUCCAGACUCCUACGGGAGGCAGCAGUGGGGAGUAUUGGACAAUGGGCGAAAGCCUGAUCCAGCCAUGCCGCGUGUGUGAAGAAGGUCUUCGGAUUGUAAAGCACUUUAAGUUGGGAGGAAGGGCAGUAAGUUAAUACCUUGCUGUUUUGACGUUACCAACAGAAUAAGCACCGGCUAACUUCGUG